GAGAGAGAGAGAGAGAGAGGAGAAUAAGAGGGUAGAAAAUAGGGAAAGAGAGAGAUGAGAGGGAGAGAUACAGAGAGAGUCUUAAAUGGAUAAAAAAAAGGAGAAAAGAACGGUAGCAUAAUAAUUGUUUUUGAAUGAAGACAUGAAUUUGCCAGUGAAAUCAAUAAUUAGAGAUUUAUUGAUAUAAUUUUUAAAAUAAAGAGAUUAAUUAAUUAAUUUUUUAAAAGAAAAUUAAUAUAUUAAGAUUAAAUAAUUAUUUAUCUUAAAUAUUAAGUGAUUUACUAGUGUGCUAAUUAAAUUUUAAUAUAUAUUGUGGGUGGAUUUGUUAAUAAGUUUAAUUAUCUAUUUUGUUAUGGAAAGUUUUUAUCGAUAAUGAUAUCAUAUGAAUUAGAUACUAAUUAAUUAAAAAGGGCUUGAUUACAAAAAUAAUAAUAAUAAUUAAAAAGGGUAGGUAAGC
rnacentral:misc_RNA from 1 species